rnacentral:snRNA from 10 species
CGCCGCUUGGGUACCUCGGAUGUGAGGGCGAUCUGGCUGCGACAUCUGUCACCCCAUUGAUCGCCAGGGUUGAUUCGGCUGAUCUGGCUGGCUAGGCGGGUGUCCCCUUCCUCCCUCACCGCUCCAUGUGCGUCCCUCCCGAAGCUGCGCGCUCGGUCGAAGAGGACGACCAUCCCCGAUAGAGGAGGACCGGUCUUCGGUCAAGGGUAUACGAGUAGCUGCGCUCCCCUGCUAGAACCUCCAAACAAGCUCUCAAGGUCCAUUUGUAGGAGAACGUAGGGUAGUCAAGCUUCCAAGACUCCAGACACAUCCAAAUGAGGCGCUGCAUGUGGCAGUCUGCC